GAUUCCCCUAGUAACUGCGAGUGAAGCGGGAAAAGCUCAAAUUUAAAAUCUGGCGGUCUUUGGCUGUCCGAGUUGUAAUCUAGAGAAGUGUUACCCGCGUUGGACCGUGUACAAGUCUCCUGGAAUGGAGCGUCAUAGAGGGUGAGAAUCCCGUCUUUGACACGGACUACCAAGGCUUUGUGGUAUGCUCUCAAAGAGUCGAGUUGUUUGGGAAUGCAGCUCAAAAUGGGUGGUAAAUUCCAUCUAAAGCUAAAUAUUGGCGAGAGACCGAUAGCGAACAAGUACCGUGAGGGAAAGAUGAAAAGAACUUUGGAAAGAGAGUUAAACAGUACGUGAAAUUGCUGAAAGGGAAACGCUUGAAGUCAGUCGCGUUGGCUUGGGAUCCACGUCCCUUUUGCGUGGUGUACUUCCUAGUUGACGGGUCAGCAUCAAUUUUGACCGCUGGAAAAAGGUUUGGGGAAGGUGGCAGCUUAGGCUGUGUUAUAGCCCCUUGUCAUAUACAGCGAUUGGGAUUGAGGUACUCAGCACGCCGCAAGGCCGGGUUUCGACCACGAUCGUGCUUAGGAUGCUGGCAUAAUGGCUUUAAGCGACCCGUCUUGAAACACGGACCAAGGAGUCUAACAUGCCUGCGAGUGUUUGGGUGGAAAACCCGAGCGCGUAAUGAAAGUGAAAGUUGAGAUCCCUGUCGUGGGGAGCAUCGACGCCCGGACCAGAACUUUUGGGACGGAUCCGCGGUAGAGCAUGUAUGUUGGGACCCGAAAGAUGGUGAACUAUGCCUGAAUAGGGUGAAGCCAGAGGAAACUCUGGUGGAGGCUCGUAGC
rnacentral:rRNA from 1 species